rnacentral:rRNA from 1 species
CCUACGGGUGGCAGCAGUGGGGAAUAUUGCACAAUGGGGGGAACCCUGAUGCAGCGACGCCGCGUGAGUGAAGAAGUAUUUCGGUAUGUAAAGUUCUAUCAGCAGGGAAGAAAAUGACGGUACCUGACUAAGAAGCACCGGCUAACUACGUGCCAGCAGCCGCGGUAAUACGCAGGGGGCAAGCGUUAUCUGGAUUUACUGGGUGUAAAGGGAGCGUAGGCGGUUAUGCAAGUCUGAAGGGAAAGCCCAAGGCUCAACCAUGGGACUGCUUUGGAAACUAUAAAACUGGAGUGCAGGAGAGGGAAGCAGAAUUCCAGGUGUAGCGGUGAAAUGCGUAGAUAUUAGGAGGAACACCAGUGGCGAAGGCGGCUUACUGGACUAUAACUGACGUUGAGGCGCGAAGGCGUGGGGAGCAAACAGGAUUAGAUACCCGGGUAGUC